rnacentral:tRNA from 6 species
GGCCUGGUAGCCAAGUGGUAAGGCAAGGGACUGCAAAUCCCUUAUACGAGGGUUCAAUUCCCUCCCAGGCCUCCC